AUCCAGCUGAUGAGUCUCAAAUAGAAUGAAACGCGAGUCUCAGAU
rnacentral:hammerhead_ribozyme from 1 species